rnacentral:lncRNA from 1 species
CGGUAUCUUGUAAACAUGUUCUGACAUUUAUCUGAGUUUAUUUGCGUAAAAUACGACAUCCCAAGCUCCCAACCCCAAGUGAUGAUAUAGGCAGCAUCCGGCAAAUAUUUUAAGCUCAAAGUUCAAACCUUAAGAGUCUUUUGGAGGUGUGUUUGCAAAAUUCCACGAUGUUUUGUCAAAGGAAUCUGGAUAUCUUCCUCCUGCAACCUCUUCUGUGGGUACGGCAUCAGAAAUUUCUUUCAGAUCCUCGUUUGUAAGUUUUACUGUCAAGGAGCCAAUAUUGUCUUCUAGGUUCUUAAUCUUAGUUGUCCCUGAUGCUCGAAGCAAAUUACCAGUAAACAUUAGGCAACAUUAUUUUGAUCAGCUCGAAUUUGAACUCUAUAUAUUUCUUCAAGUCAACACGUGAAUCAUGAACUCAAGGAUAGAAACUUACCAGGAAUAGGUACGACAUCAUCCCCCUGUUCGAGAACCCAUGCCAGUGCUAAUUGCGCAGAAGUGCAUUUGUACUUUUUGGCAAGGUUCUCUAUGCGAAAAUAAAUACUCCUGUUUCUGUCCAGGUUCUCUCCGGUGAACCGAGGAAGAAAAUUCUUAUAAAACAGAUACAUGCAGAAUUUUAAUAAGCUUCACCACAUAUGGAACAUUAGUCUCAAAUGAAACUGGAAAGCUCAUGUUGUUUCUUAAAAACAUCUAUGUUAUACUGUGUUAUGAAACAAAACGAUGCGGACAAACAUUGAUGAAAAACAUACCAAAAAGCUAUCUGGAGGCACACUUUCCACAACAGCUUUGCCACCGAAAAAUCCACGACCAAGAGGACUGUAUGGAACUAUUCCAAUGCCAAGCUCCCUGCACACUUCAAUCUAUCAGAAGGGCAGUCUUGUACAUGCAAGCAUAUACUUCCACUUAAAAUCUAAUCUAAUCUAUUCUAUGCAAGUAUUGAAUUUUACAAAAUUCUAUAUCUACAGACAUUAGGUACAAAAUAGUAGAUUGGAACAAAUAAAUAGAAUAUACUUCCUUUGAAAAUCUAAUCUAUCCUAUUCAAGUUACUAAUUUUAUGAAAUGCUAUAUCCUCAGACACUAGAUACAAAAAUUAAAGUUUUAGAUAGGAACAAUUAAAUAGGUCCUUAAACACUCUUCAUCGCGAGUCGAACGAACCUGCAAAGUGGUACUAUCUCAUUCUCAAUGUCACGAGUCCAAAGAGACCAUUCCAGUUGUACAGCUGUGAUAGGAUGAACAGCAUGUGCUCUCCUAAUUGUAUCUGGGCUAGCCUCAGAUAAUCCUAUGUACUUGAUUUUACCCUCUUCCACCAGCUUUUUCAUUUCGCCAAUCUAUAUUUUGACAAGGAAAUGACAAAUAUAGUUUUGAACACAUUCAAUCAAUAUGGAUCCCACCACUACUGAUACAAUCAGAAUCUAAAAAUCAUAAUUGGGGUCAAAACUCUUCAAUUCAGAUAGUUAGCCUGAGGAAGAGAGAAUCACUCACAGUUUCCUCUAUGGGGACUGAUGUGUCCACUCUAUGUUGAUAAUACAGAUCAAUGUAUUCCACAUCAAGGCGCUUCAAGCUAGCUUCACAACAUGAGCGCACAUACUCAGGGUUACCCUUCACAAUCACAGCAUCAAGUCCCAAUUCUGCAAACCCAAACUUUGUGGCUACUUGUAUGUUUUCUCUGGGCAACAUCUUCAAGGCCUGAAAGGAAUGAAUUUUUUUCCAAUAAAUUCGGAAAAUUUUAACAAUGAUUUCUAUAUCCUCAAUAAUGUGCAAAAAUAAAUAUUCACCAAUUCCUUGAACAAACAUAUUAUAUUAGGAGUGUGAUUCCAUAGUUAUCAGUUAAAUUACUUGAACCAUAGCAGCUAUCAUACUCUUUAGGUUACCGCUUGAUCUAGAUGUGAAUUGUAACUAAAUUAAUCAAACAUAACAAGUGUUUAGUUAAGAGAAUUCUUACACAAGUGUCAAGAGUCAAGAUCCUAACCUUUCCAAGAAGAAUUUCAUUAGUAUAUGGUCCAUAUUUAUCAGCAGUAUCAAAGAAAGUGAUUCCUUUAUUGAAAGCAUGCUUUAUUAUAGAGAUGCCAUCCUCUUCAGAGACUGGAGAAUUGUAACCUCCACUCAGGCUCAUGCAUCCAAAUCCCAGCUUUGAUACCUGUAAAAGCAAAAAAACACAAUCAGAGAAAUCAAACGAUCAGGAUUAAAAGAACAAAAAAAAAAGAAAAUUACAAAUGGGUAGUUACCUCAAGGCCUUGGGUUCCGAGUUUCACUCUCGGAACUUGGAGUUUCAUCCCUUCUGCCAUAUUUGAUGCUGUGGUUUUGGUUUGUCCUGGUAUUCUUUCAAUAAUUAGUUGGUUGACUUGAGCUUGAGCUGGAUGUGGGACAAAAAGGAAAGGAAUCUGGUUUGGCUCCAACUCCAAGGAUGUGAAGACAGGUACUUUUUUAUUUAAAGUGCUGAAACUGGGACUUGACUAGCUUACAGAAUCUGUAAGCUACAGACUGCAGCAUCAGCCGUUGGAUGUGGUUGGAUGUGGAGUGAGAAACUAAACAAUAGAAAAUCGGAUGGUGGAAUGACGGGAGAUGUUUGUUACAGAAUCGGAUGGUGGGAAAUUUCAAAACCUGAAACUGGUUCUGAUGGGGGCAAAACUUCCGUUACAUUAGCUGUACGUUACAGCUAAAAGAUUUUAAAUCCUUCGUAAAGUUUAUAAUUAUAAAAAAGUCAAUGAGUUUUAAAAUUUUGUUUUAAACCCCAAGAUGCCUGUGAAAGUCUUUGAAAUUUCCCAGGAGGGAUAUUAGCCACCCUUUCGUCAACAUCAAUGGCAAAACCUAUGCCCCCUCAAGUCUUUAUUAUUUCUCACAGUUCCCAAAAUUAUAUCCACAUUUGCCUCAUAGGUUUGUAUAUCUUCAUCUUCUUUUAUCACGUUUUUGGUUGGUUUUUUAUCUGGCAAAGAAGAUUUGAUUUUGAUCACAUUUGGUCUCAUCAAACCAACUUAUGACUAUUAGAGAUAUUAAAUAAACUAUUAGAGAUAUUAAAUAGAUUUUUAUAAAUCUCAAAAGAAAGGCAAAGGCAAAGAGAGCAAACCUUGAAUAAAAUGAAGCAACUUGUAAAUUACAAAAGGUUAAAAACUACAUCAUCAUCAAGUUCUAGUGACUGUGCUAUUUGCUUGGAAACUUUUACAGAUGAUGAAACUUGUUGAAUUUCUCCUGUAUACAAUCACAUCUUUCAUUUAAAUUGCAUUGAUGGUUGUUUGGAGAUCAAUAUAAUUGCCCUUUUUGUCGUAAUUGUAUCUUCGAACUUCAAUUUUCUUAAAAUUUUCUAUUUAUAUUUACAAUAGAUUUAGUACAGUUUCUCAACAAUUUUUUUUUUCUAUAUUAUCCAAUUGAAUCUCUAACUUAUUCAAUCUUACAUCUAUUCAGUUUUUAUUCGUUAUAUUAAUGAUCUCUUACUUUAAUUUAUCUUGAUCUUCAAUAUUGAAUUAUUUCAUUAAUUGUUUAGCCUUAUAAAAUUCUUUGCUCAUUUGAUCUCCUGAAUUUUUAAUUUGUUUUAUAUUUUCGUCAUUGAAAUUAUUAAUCUCUUACAUUUUGUUUGCACUUUCUAUAUAAUUUAUAGAUAAAUUUGGGUUUCUUAAUUUAUUUAAUAAAUACAACGAAGUUCAAUUUAAUUGAUUAUUAGCUCACGUGUUUGAAUCAUUGAUCCAAUCGAAAAGUUGAAAUCUUCCACCUGAAAAUCCUUUUCGCCCAUAGCUAGAAUGUGGUAGCUUAUUGGUUUUUAUGUUUUUUGAAAUUAUUAGAAAUUUUGGUAAUUUAUUCAUUGUAUCAUUUUUCUAAUAAUUCAUUAAAUUCAUAGGAUAUUCAUGAUAUAUAAUAUCUCUUAUAAUUUAGGAUGCUAGAUUCAUAUUACAAAAUCUAUGUGAAAGCAUUUAUGGUGUGUGUAGAAAAAAUCUAGUUUAUAUCUUAAGAGAGACAAGAAUUUAUAAAUACAGGUGCAAAUAUAUAUUCAGAAUUUGUGGAUAUUUAUGAACAUGAUAAUCAUUUAUAUUCUUAUAAAAAUAUAGUAAAAACUUUUUAAAAAAUUUAAAAAUAAAUAUAAAAAACUAUAUAAUUAUACAAAAUUAAUGAGGACUUAUUUGAAAAAAUAAGUAAAUAUGUGAUUAAAAAUAAAAUUUUCUUUAAAUUACUAUUGCACCCGUACCUCGUUUUUGGUUAAAAUUACUUUCAUCCAUUGGAUUUAAGAAAUAUAAAAAUUAAUGAUCCAUAUCUAUUAGUUGUUUGUUACAAUAUUUGUAACAUAAGCUUUGCCUCUGUUGUGUUGUUGUGUGCAAACGAAUUUUCAUUUUUUUUUCUCUUACUAUCAUGAUUGGUCAAUUUAGUGUAAUUCAAAACAAGUGCAAACGAUUUUAAGAUUUGACAAAAUAAUCCCUGUACUUUGCAAAAUGUUAGGUGUGGGAGAAAUUUACAGUCACAACACACGAUGUAAUUGUCUAAUAAAAGUGUUCAGCUACAUUGGAUCACCUCCAACUAAUACCAGCCAUACAAUUAUAUAAAUUCGAUGUGACGGUCACGAUUACAUGAACUCAAAAUACAAGAUAUGCAUAGGAUUAUGGGGUCUUAUUCUCCUUCGCUCUUCAUCAGUUUCUUCAUUAUAAUCGGAAUCAAUCUCAUCAUCACCGUCGGUUCGCUGGAAAGUUUCAAAUUUGAUCAGCAAUCAUUGAUUAUAUCUCUCUAUCUCUCCUCGCUUAAUUCUACUAUGCAUCGCCAUGCUGAUGAUCGACGCUGGCACCUACUGCAGUCGCAACUAUCUCGCAAACCGUUGAUUAUACCUUUUUUAGUGCUCAUAAUGGAAGACAAAGACGCAAACACGAGAACAGAAGGCAACCAAGUAAGUAAUAUUGAAACUUGCGCGAAAAUUAGCGUUUCUGUUAUUUGUUAAUUAACAAUUUGUUUGGGGGGAUAUUAUAGCGUGAUCUGCCAUACCCAAGCGAGGAGUUGACCUUCUCAUAAGCGAGGAGCAAUGUGACAUCCGAGAGCAGGAGUCUUCUCCUCGUCCUUGAGGAGACCAUCUGCUAGGACUAGAAUAUGAGCAGGUUCCUUGCUAGGCGUCGAGAACAUUUCCUGCUGGGGGCUAAAUCAGCAGACCCAGUCCACAGCAGUUAAAUAGGACAUGCGCUAUUAUCCUAGAAUUCAGGCACGAAGCCCACUCAGCUACGACCACCACGUUCAAGCAUCCACUUACGAUGAUUCGGCAAAGUGGCGAGCGUGAGUCAAUGAGGGCCGAAUUCUCAGGGAGGUUAUAAAAAAGGCAAUCAAAGAAGGUAAAAGGGUUCGACAAAAAACACUAAAAAAGAGACAAAAAGAAAUUCCAGGGGGCAUUCUAGUGAGAACCUCAGGAAAAUUCACAGGGAUUUCAUUGCUUUAGAAAUCAUUACAAAGCCAAGAAAUUAUUGGCAGGGUUUUUCCAAAAGUAAGCCUAGAUUCUGGACUUAAGCGUCAGAGGGUUUACGCCGGGAAAACCCUCGGCGUGCUUUGACCAGUUUUUGUAUGUGCAGGAGUCUGCCGAGAGAAGCAGUAAGCGUCAUAGUUCUACUUGUUUAGAAAAGGGCAACGUGGAGUUACCUAUAGUCAAUUGCAAACUUGAGCAUUAAGGAGAGAUUCUGGUCGUGACCGAGCAUACAUCAAAUCUCGCAUCAACAUUUUGCCGUCGUCUAUGGGGAGCUGAACAAAAAGCUUUCGUUAACAGCGAGCGUUAACAUAGAGAAGGAAGGGAAAAAAAGAGGGGCGACUAUGGACGUAGGUAGGAGUAAUGUCCAAGGAGGGGAUAUGGGGCUUAACGAAUCCGUAAUAUUAAGAGAAAUAACUAACGAGGCGUGAGAAAGAGCAAUGCAUGAGCAGAUGGAAAACAGAUGGAAACUCUGACAACUAUCUUGCACGCGUUGAGAAAGAACAAAGAGAAACUCACGAAGAAAUAAUGAGAAGUGACAGAGUUACACUAGGGCAUGUUAAUAGAAGGAACAACGGUGAAGGGACCACUCUGAUGAAAGGUUUAACUACCGGGAGGCCUGGUGGUGGACUCAAUGACCAAUCUCUACGGAAAGUCAUGAAAGAGGGAAUCAACCCCCGGGUAGGCAGAACACGGGCAAUAAUAACAGGGUUGCGAACGCUGAGGAGAUGGAACUUCGACAACACCUGCGUGAUGUCGAGCAAGAGCAAGACCAGGUAACGGCACGUGAUCCUAGUCGAGCCGACCCAUUGGUGCACAUAAAGCGUUUCAAUGACUUAACCGGAGUGUAGAGAUUAUCUCAAGCCCAGAGAUGCAGGGUGAGUGGUAUCGAAGGUUUCCUCCGGGAAACAUCAGAACAUUCGAGCAGAUGUGCCAGGAAUUUGCAGAGCAAUUUCGGGGGACAAUGGCACCAGAAGAUGAUAUGAUGGAGCUGACGAGUAUGAAGCAAGGAGAAAAUGAGACUCUUCGGGACUUUAUCAAAAGAUACCAUCAUGCUAUCCUCGAUCUUAGAGCCUUCAACCAUCCUCAGGGGGCUAAAGGAAGGAGUAAAGAUAGAGAGUCUGUGGUACAACUUAAGGAGUCCAGCAGUUCAGUCAUAUUUCGUGGCCUAUUAGCAAGCCAAGAGGGACAUAGAAAUCGAGGAGGAAAAAACGACGAGGAUUAAGACGGACCAGCUGGAGGGGUUGAGGAGAAAGGAAAAGAAAGUCAUAGCAGAAAGCGGGCCAAUUAAAUGGAAGGACCACUAUGCCCCGGGUGGCAGUGCGGGAAGUCGGGUCGCCUCUUACCAACCUCACCAGAGGCCACUCCAAUAUCAACGUAGCAGGAUGCAGCUUUCUCGUUCACUAGCUAGAGAUUCUUGGGGAAGGCUUGACUAGAUGUAUAGUCACCUUCAUUAUCAUACUACGAUGACCCACCACCUACAGAGUAUGAGAGCUAGCAGACCAAAUGCACCAAUGCCCCUUCCCGCUUAAAACAACGCCCACAGGGAAAAGGCAAUGCACGUGAUCGAUCAGAGUUAGAGCUAUAGGCGGUACAUUUCCUUGAAGACGCCUCUGGACGAUGUGUACAAUGCAAUAAAGGAUCAUGGUUUGCUGUAUCCUCCUACCCCAAUAGCAAAACUACCUAGCAGAUGAGAUAAGGGCCGGUUUUGCGAAUUCCAUGGCACCCAUGGUCAUACUACGUCCCAAUGCAGUGAUCUAAAAAAUCAGGUGGAAGAUUUAGUGAGGAAUCGUUACUUGGACGAGUUCAUAGAUAGAGCUAUCUCGAUUGCAGGCUCAUCAUGUGGAGCAGAGCAGGGCACUAGAAAUGCAGGCCACAAGCAGCCCAUCAUCAGAGUUAUCGUUGGGGGCCCAACGUUGGCUGGGGAUUCCAACAGAUCUAGAAAGAACUAUGCUAGGUAUGCCAUGACUAGCAAAAAAGUAUUAUUUAACACUCCGACGGCAAAACGAACAAGGACCAAGCAUGUGCUGAUCAUGUGGAUGGAUGAGGACGAAGAAUGAGUGCUAUACCCACACGAGGAUGCACUUGUCAUUGAAGCCAUCGUCGCCAGCAAGAAGUUUGAUUGAAUCCUAGUAGAUACUGAGAGCUCAGUCGAUGUCCUGUUCAAGUCAACUUAGGAGGAAAUGGGAAUAGCAGAUUUGAGGAUAGAGCACAUCAACACAUCAUUAAAGGGGUUCGGGGGAGGAAGGCUAGCCCCACUUGGAGUGGUCGAGCUACCCAUUACUAUAGGUUCUGCUCCAUUAGAAAAGACAAUGAUCCUAGAUUUUAUUGUGGUCGAUGAAGAGAGCCCCUACUAGAUGAUUUUAGGCCGCCCUUUCUUGAGGAAGAGUAAGGCGGUGCUAUCUAAUCAUUACUUGGCUUUCAAGUACUGAGUAAAUUGGGUGGUUGGCGUGGUACAAGAAAAUUAGAGAAUUUCUCGAAGCUGUUACACUACAGCAACGAAAGAGGCGAUGUAAAUUACCUCGCUUCAUGCCUAAGCAAAAUUUAUGAGGGGCAGACAUGAGACGGUUAAGGAGCUGGAGACUGUUAACUUGAAUCAGGACGGCAUGGGGAAAACACUUAGGAUUGGGUCGAAGAUAGAGGGGGAGUUGAAGCAAGAGUUGAUACACUGCAUGCGAUCUCACGCAUAUAUGUUUGCAUGGACGCAUGAUGACAUGCCGGGGAUCGACCCCGAGGUGGCUUGCCACAGGUUGGCGAUAAAGAAGGGUGUCAGAUCUGUGAGGCAAAAGAGAAGGUAUUUCAACCAGGAGAGAUACGAAACCAUAAAUAGCGAGGUGGAGAAGUUCUUGCAGGCAGGGUUCUUUCAGGAAGUGAACUACCCCGAAUGGAUAUUGAAUGUCGUUCUGGUAAGGAAGGCCAAUGGUAAAUGGAGAAUAUGUGUUGACUUCAUCGACCUCAACAAGGCAUGCCUGAAAAAAAGCUUUCCCCUAUCGAAGAUCGACCAGCUGGUUGACUCAACAGCAGGGCAUAAUCUGCUCAGCUUCAUAGACGCAUUCUCUGGAUACAACCAAAUCCUAAUGUACGAGUAUGAAGAGGAGAGCACGACGUUUAUUACUAACCAGAGUUUGUUUUGUUACAGGGUAAUGUCAUUCGGCCUUAAAAAUACAGGUGCUACAUACCAGAGGUUGGUGAACAAAAUCUUUAAGCCAUUGAUUGGGCGAAUGAUUGAGGUUUAUGUGGACGACAUAAUAACCAAAUCAAAAAGCCCGGAUGAACACGUCAAGCACCUUGAGGAGACAUUUGGGCUUUUGAGAAAAUAUAAUAUGAAGCUCAACCCGAAAAAGUGUGUUUUUGGAGUUGGAUCGGGAAAAUUCCUUGGGUUCAUGGUAAGCCAUCGGGAGAUUGAGGCGAAUCCUAAGAAGAUCCAAGCAAUUGUGGGAAUGAGAUCUUCUUGUAAUUUGAAGGAGAUAUAAAGCUUCACGGGAAAGUUGGCGACGUUGAGUCGAUUUAUAUCCAAGGCCACAGACAAAUGUCAUGCCUUUUUUCAAGUGAUGAGGAUGGGGAGGAAAAUAGAAUGGACCCCCGAAUACAAAGAGGCAUUCUCGAAACUGAAACAAUACCUACAACAAACACUCUUAUUGUCCACACCACGAGAGGGGGACGUCCUGUGUAUCCAAUCACGGUAUAAGCUCAAUUCUGGUGAGAGAAGAAGAAGAGGUCCAGUACCCAAUAUAUUACACCAGCAAAGCUCUGCUCGAUGCCGAGACCAAGUACCCGCCGUUGGAGAAAUGGGCACUCGCCCUUGUAGUGGCUGCUCGAAAGUUGAGACCGUAUUUCCAAGCAUUCUCAGUUGCGGUAGUAGCAGACCAACCAUUGUGGUAGACCAUACACAAACCGAAUGCUUUCGGUCGGCUAGUGAAGUGGGCAAUAGAGCUAAGCGAGUUCGAUAUAAGCUACAAACCCCGAGCAGCAAUUAAAGCCCAAGCGAUGGCAGACUUCGUGGCAGAGUUCAUAGAGCCUGAAGUAGACUUCGACCACACAAGUGCUGCUGCAGGCAACGACGGAGGCAGUUUGUCAAGCGUCAAUGGAUGAAUCCUCAGGUGAGUAGGGUGCCGGAGCAGGGAUUGUUUUGGAAAGCCGAGAAGGGGAAGAGAUCUCUUACGUUGUCAAGUUAGAGUUCACGGCCACAAACAACCAGGCCGAAUACGAAGCUCUAGUUGCAGGGUUAGAGUUAGUUAAGGCAGUGAAAGAAAAUAGGGUGAAAAUCCGGACCUAUUCCCAACUGGUCGCGAGCCACGUCAGUGAAAGAUUUCAACCCAUAAAUGAGAAGAUGGAACAGUAACUAAAAAAGGUCAGACAGUUGAUUGGGAAGUUCGAAUCAGUGGACGUAGUGCAAAUCCCAAGGAGCGAGAACUACCGAGCAGAUAUCCUUGCCAAAAUGGUAGCCAUAAUGGACCUAAUAUCAAGAGGUCGAAAUAUACUACGAGCAAACCAAGAUUAUUAAGUUUCUAGUAUUGAUCCAUUGCAUUACCAAUACCAAAAACUGGGGGACCGGUGUUUGGGGGGAUAUUAUAGCGUGAUCUGCCAUACCCAGGCGAGGAGUUGACCUUCUCGUAAGCGAGGAGCAAUGUGACGUCCGAGAGCAGGAGUCUUCUCCUCGUCUAUGAGAAGACCAUAUACUGGAACCAUAAUACGAGCAGGUUCCUUGCUAGGCGUCGAGAACAUUUCCCGUUAGGGGCUAAAUCAGCAGACCUAGUACACGACAGUUAAACAGGACAUGCACUAUUAUUCUAGAAUCCAGGCACGAAGUCCACUCAACUACGACCACCACGUUCAGCCAUCUACUUCCGAGGAUUCUGGCAAAGUGGCAAACAUGAGUCAAAGAGGGUCGAAUUCUCAGGGAGGCUAUGAAAAGGGCAAUAAAAAAAGGUAAAAGGGUUGGACAAAAAAAACUAAAAAAGAGACAAAAAGAAAUUCCGGGGGGCAUUCUAGUGAGAACCUCAAGAAAAUUCAUAGGGAUUUCAUUGCUUUAGGAAUCAUUACAAAGCCAAGAAAUUAUUGAUGGAGUUUUUUCAAAAGUAAGCCCAAAUUUCUGACUUGAGCGUCGGAGGGUUUACACCGGGAAAACCCUCAACGUGCUCUGAUCAGUUUUUGUGUGCGCAAGAGUCUGUUGGAGAGAAGGAGUAAGCGUCAUAGUUCUACUCGUCUACAAAGGGGCAGCGUGAAGUUACCUAUAGUCAACUGUAAACUUGAGCAUUGAGGAGAGAUCCUGGUCGUGAACGAGCAAACACCGAAUCUCGCACCAACACAAUUAAUUAAAUUAAGCAAAAUUUUUACAUAGAAACUGGGGGAGCAAAUUGAUUAAACCCAUAAACAAGUCUAGAAUUUAAUUAGUUAAUUAAAGUCUCUAGAAUUCUAGAAGGUAGCAUAGAGCAGCUGGUUGGCUGGUGGGGAGUGAUGAUCAGUAGAAAUUCGGAGACACUGGAAGAGGACUGUGUAAAGGUCGAAGACCACGACGGGUGGCCUUGGCUCUGCUUUAACCAGUAGCUGAUGCAGAAUUAUCCUUUGGUUCAACAUAAUGAGCGAUUGUCACCGACACAACAAGAAUCACACCCAAGCAAAAUACAGCAUAGCAUUGCCGCCCCAGCUUCCCCUACAGUCCAUGCACCGUCUCCAUCGUAUACAUGUAUACCACUUUUUUAUCUUUCUAUUGAAAGUAACUCAGUAAUAUACGUAGUGUUGUAAUAUAAAAUGUUCUAUGAAUGUGUGUAUAUAUACGGAAGAAAAUUGGAAAGAUAGCAAAUGGUUUUGGUGGGUAGAGUCUACAGAGAGAGGGGAAACAGGGAGCAGGAAUUAAUUAUUGAUUAAAAAAGGAGGAACAAAACCAGGGGAUGAAUUAAGAUGAGUGAAGGCAGGGAUUGUCGUUUUGUUGCAGAAAAAACCGACGGAGCUAGGGAUAAUUCUUUCAGCUUCAGAUGACAGCAAAGCAGUUUGUAGAGCGCAUGCAAACAACACUUGGCCGAUUCAAUUCAAGAGGCAUUCAGACACCCACUCCCCUUUUUCAUAUAGGGUUCAUUGCAUGUCCUGCUUUCUUUGAUUCGUUUAUUGUAUUUGGUCAAACAACCGAUGAAGAGCGAAGGAGAAGAAGACCCCAUAAUCCUGUGCAUAUCUUGUAUUUUGAGUCCAUGUAAUCGUGAUUGUCAGAUCAGAUUUAUAUGAUCGCAUAGCCGAAACCCUGAUUAAAAUUGGCGCUACGUUGGAGCUGAUCCAACGUAGCCGAACCCCUAAUUAAAAUUAUGUCACAUGACACAUUUUAGUUUUUAUUCUCUCUUUCUAUCAUGUUUGAUCAAUUCAGAUAAAUCUAUUUGUUAAAAUUUUACAAGAGUACGUACGAAAACGAAGUACGUCGAUCCCACCUAAAAUGUUCUCUAUCAAUGAGAUUACAUAUUUAUCACAUUGGGGGGUGAAUUUAGCCUCCUGAUAUUACUCUUGAGCUUGUAAAAGAUGAAAUGCCCUGUCUUUGUAUCUUCUUUGAUCGCGAGAUUAUACUAUAUUCACAAUAGAGCAAUCCGAACCACCAUACCUCUAUACAAAACAGUUGAACUUGAGUUUAAAUAUCUUAUGUUUUAACAAACUGAAUAAUAUUCUGAUAAGUUACAGCAUCUUUUUGUUGUUGUAUUGCCUCAUCAUGAUACAUAAUGAAUAAAUCAAGGGUUUAAAUUUUUCCGAACAAUAUUUGAAUUGUUAUUGCACUGAUGUCAAAUUGCUACCAAAAGGAGGCAAAUAGCUACAAAUCCAUCUAUUGUUGGGUUCCUUUGGGAGAUUACUUGCUGGAAAUAGCCUUGAGUUUGAUACAUAUCAUUCAUUAAUACAUAGUAUUUCUUUAGCAGCAAAGCAAGCUGAAAUCAAAUACAUAAAAGCUACCAUGCAUACCCCCAUCAUUUAUUGAAACAAACUAUAGUAGUUUUUCCCAUAGUGACACAAUCUCUCAUUAUAAAUUGAACAAAAAAAAAAAAAAUUCUCUUCAAUGGAAAAUCUUCAAGUUUCAGAUGCUUUUAGUAGCUGGAGGGACUAUCUUGCAAUGGUAUGUUCACGAACUUCCAAGAGCAGCGAAGGAAACUUAUCCGUUAUUCUGUCCCCUGCUACCUCAUUGCCGGAAGUGGAGGACUGUCUUUUGCUGGUGUGUUCGCGAACUUCCAGGAGCAACGGAGGAGACCGCCAAUUACCCCAUCCCCUGCUACAUCAUUGAUGGGAAUCACAGAAGAAAUCUCAUCUAAAUCUUCAUUUGUAAGUUUCACUCUCAAAGAACCAAUAUUGUCGUCUAGAUUUUUAAUCUUUGUUGUACCUGUAACUGCUGUACGGCCAAGGCGGAUGUACGGUACAGCAGAAAAACAGUUUGGGUUUUGCUUAUCUUGUUGAUCCACUUCAAUGCUGGUUUGCUAGAUUCUGCAAUUAUUCAAGACAUCAUUUCUUAUAACUUAAGCUAAUUAAGUUGCUUAUCGGUACAAUUUUUACAAAUUUCAAAUGCUUUUAGUAGCUGGAGGAGGUGGACCAUCUUUUGCUGGUGUGUUCGCGAACUUCCAGGAGUAGCGAAGGAGACCGCCAAUUACCCCAUCCCCUGCUACCUCAUUGAUGGGAAUCACAGAAGAAAUCUCAUCUAAAUCUUCAUUUGUAAGUUUCACUCUCAAAGAACCUAUAUUGUCGUCGAGAUUUUUAAUCUUUGUUGUACCUGCCAAAAAAAUAAAGCACAUACAAGGCUUAUCAACUCAUAUAGGAGAGAUGUCUAUCAUGAUUGCACCGGCUGAUAAGAAAAUAAGGAGAUUAACUCACCAGGAAUUGGUGCUACAUCAUUUCCUUGAUGAAGAAUCCAAGCAAGUGCAAGUUGUGCAGGGUUGCAUUCAUGCUUUUCGGCUAACUUUUGCAGACGCAAAUAUAAGAUCUUGUUUUUGUCAAUGUUCUCUCCUGAGAACCUAGGAUGCCAUGUCUUAAGGAAAAAUUGACCAUCAGUUAAUCAAUUCAAAAUUACUCUCAAAAGUAACAACAUCAGAAUAACAAAUGAAACAUUGUAGACUAAAACAUACCAGAAGACUGUUCGCAGGCAAACUUUCAACACUAGCCUUGCCACCAAAAAAUCCACUGCCAAGUGGACUAUAUGGAACUAUCCCAAUUCCAAGUUCCCUGUAACAUAAUAUUCAAAAUUGACAAUUGCCUCUCAUUUACAGAAAUCAAACUUGCAGGAAUAUGUUAGCUGAAGAGGUGGCAUGAGAGUCAUUUACCAAAGAAAAUCUACUGUAGUUGAAUAGAUAAAAAUGAGAAUGACAACAUAUCAAUUUCAGUUUCAUUGUAAAGAACCUGCAAAGUGGGACUAUUUCAUCCUCAAUUUCGCGAGUCCAGAGAGACCAUUCCAUUUGUAAGGCAGUAACAGGAUGAACGGCAUGUGCCCUUCUUAUAGUAUCAGGGCUUGCUUCAGAUAACCCGAUAUACUUUAUUUUCCCUUCUUCCACCAACUUCUUAAGUUCUCCCAUCUGAUAAGAAGCAAAAUGUACCACUAUAACUAUUGAUGCGGCAACUGGUGACUACUGACAAGGAAAUCAGAAAUGAAGGCAGCAGAUUACUUACAGUAUCCUCUAUAGGUAUCGUUGUGUCAACGCGAUGCUGAUAAUAGAGAUCAAUGUAUUCAACAUCAAGACGCUUCAGGCUAGCCUCACAGCAGGCGCGGACAUACUCAGGGGUACCCUUUACCACAACAUCACUCAUGUCAAAUUUGACAAUACCAAAUUUUGUGGCUAGCUGCACUUUUUCUCUUGGAAGCUGCUUGAGAGCCUGAAAAGAUUCAUCAAUUAAUUACUCAAACAAAGUAAUCUUGCAUGCCAAGAGUUUUCACCCAUCAGUUUUAUCAAUUAAUCAUUUACCUUUCCAACAAGAAGUUCAUUAGCAUUAUUGGGUCCAUAGACGUCUGCUGUGUCAAAGAAUGUGAUUCCUUGAUCAAAUGCGUGCUUGAUUAUUGAUAUGCCAACUUCAACAGGGACAGGAUCAUUGUAAAUUCCAGUGAGGCCCAUGCAACCAAAUCCCAACUUUGACACCUUUAAGACACAUAUAAGCCAUCAAAAAAUAUUAUAUGAGAAACAGUAAUGUCUCUCUGUGAUUGUUUAUAUUUUUCCUAAUGCUGUAAAAGAAAAGAGUUACCAAAUGAACUUUACCUCAAAUCCUUGCCCACCAAGUUUCACCCUUGGAAUCUCGAUUCUUUGUUCUUCAGCCAUUUUCUUCAAACUUCUUCUUCUCCUUCUUCUUCUUGGUACUGGCUUAAGACUUGUCUCGGCCUCUUAAGAUGCAGAGAUAUGGAGGCAUGGGAGUGGGACUCAUGACAUUUAUAAGGAACCAAAAUGAAGGUGGCCUUAGCCCUCGCGUCUUGUAAUUAUUUAUUUUUAGAAUAAAAAAAAUGUUGAAAAGAACUAAAGGAAAAACAAACAUAACGGUCAAUCGAGUCCGUUUAUUAAAUAAUGCUGCAUUGACAAAAAAAUUGAGUUAUAAAUUUUGAUUAAAAUAUCAGGGUAGUUAUCAAUCAGUUUUUUUUUUUUUUUUUUUUGUCAAGAUAUUAUGAUGUUUUUAUACUUUUUAUCAAAAUUUUAUAACCUAAUUUUUUUUUUUAUCAAAAUAAAAUUUUCGCUAUUGUUGUUUUUUGAUUUACACAAUAAAACGGGCAUGUGUGAUCUGUAGUGAUGUAUGAUAUCAAAUUGAAGUUUUAAUACCAAUACGAUUGAAAUGAUUUGUUCUUGUAAUUAUGAAAAUUCAAAUCAUUAGGAAAUUGAUAAAGCUUUUAAUUUGUUGCCGUGGAGUAUUGGACAAAAUAACUUAGCCUAUAAUAAAAAUAUAUAAUUAAAAAUCUAAAGCGUGAUCUGUGCGGGGAGCAAGUCGUGAUGUAUUUGUAUACAUACACACACAUACACAGCAACCAUGGCCAAAAUAAAAAAAAUUAAAUUCAAACAUAAUCACCAAUUUUUAAGUGUUAAGUUGAAAAAUAAACGUCUUUAAAAUGUCUAAAACUCUAAAGCUGAACCAUAUACAUUAUUCAAUUAAAAAAAAAAAAACGAGAGCUGGAAGUUUAGGUCUUGUUUGGUGUUAAUAUAUUGUAUUAUAGAUUUUUUUUAUUAUACAAAUAUAAAAAUAAAAUUAAUUUAACUUCUAAAUCACAAAUUUUGUCACUUUCAAGUUCUAACAUCAAAUCAAACAUAUAAAUAAGUGACAAAAAUUGUAAGUCGAAUCCAUAAAGAAUCAUAUACUACAUUAAUCAGGUAAGCAAAUAUGUAAGCACCCUUCCGGUAAACUACAUUCAUCAUGUAAGCAGGUACGUGAACAUCCUUUUGCUUUUAAUUCUUCUUAAAAAUUGAUAAUUAUUUUAGGACCAAAAAUGUUAAAGACAAGUAGACCAAUAAAAAUAGACAUAAUGCCUCUAAAGUAUUUGUAGAACAAAAUUACUUAUUAUUAAAUAUAAAUGAGUAAGUGUUCGGUGAAUAUUAUUUAUUUAAAUAGUAAAUAUUUACUAAAACCUUUAAAAACUAUACAUUUAAAAUUAUGUGGAAACUCAACGAUUAUAAACCUACCAUAUGUCAUCUUUCUACCUAGCUAGCCCAUUGAAUUUCAUAAUGUCAAUGCUAACAAACAAUGUCAUCUAAUUGUACUAAAGCUCAACUGCCAGUAAGAUUAACAAGCAACUUACCAGCAUACAUUUCUAUUGGCUAAUUUUCACUUGUACAGAAUUAAAAAAUUUAACGAGUUCUAAAUCACUAAAAAAGUAAAAGGUAAUUAAAAUUUUAAAAGUGAACAUUGAUAGUUGAUUAUUUCACUUUAUCUCACCAAUUUGUAUUUCUUGAUCAACUCUAGUUAUUUAUUAUUUUUUUUUUUCUUAAGCUCGCGACUUUUCCUCUUUCAUAUCUCUCUCACUUUCUUGAAUUGAUUUACAAUUUCCAUCAAAUGUUAGUCCCCAAACAAAUUCCACAUUGCAAUUGUCAAAAUGUUGGAUUAUCACCACAAAAAAAAAGUAAUAAAUAAAUACAUAUGAUCGACAUCAUUAGAAACCACCAAUUAUCUACAAAAUUUAAUAAGAUUCAAUAACAAAUUAUAAUGUGUUGUAGGUGGUUGUAGAUUGAUGGUGAUGAAGAUGUGCGGUGGUAAUGAUGGACAUGGUAGUGAUGAAGUUAGGUACUGGGUGAAGAUGAUGCUUGGCAGAAAAAGUAUAUGAAAGAGAAAAUAAAAAAUAAAAUUAUUUAAUUUAACUAUUUUUAAUUUUUUAAUAAAGAUAAUUUUAAAAAUAAAUGGGUUUAAUUAAAAAGUGAGGUUAAUAAGAGAAUGUAAGGUGGUAAAUGUAUAAGGGUAAAAAGUCAAAAAAACAAAAGGUGGGUUUUGGGAUUCUACAUUUUCUAAAAUCCGAUGAACUCGGCCUUGUUUAAGAAUGCAAGCCCAGCUCAAGUCUUGUAGGUAAUUUUGAGGCCCUUACUGAAAAAGGCUUGAAGUUAUUAUACAGUGGGAGCUCAAAUCUUACGAAACCCUUGAAUUUUUUUAAAUACAUCCCCCGGGCGCCGCGCGGGGAUCUGCAUAGAGUUAAUUCAUUUUUGUCUUAUGAAAAAAAACUCCAAUCCAUUUUCUUUCCUUUUGAAUAAAAUUUUUAAUUAUAGAAACUCCACUAACCAUAUACAUAGUAAUAAAAAAAUUAUUAAAUUAAAAUACAGAAAACGAAAUGAUAUAUCUUAAACUAAUUUUCGGUAAGAAAAGAAAAUCUUAAGCGACUUUAUAGUUUUAAUAUAAAAAAUUAUAUUUUCAAAUAAAAAAUAAAAGAUAAGUAUAGAAUAUGAGAUUGUGUGAGCUUAAAAGUUUGUUAAAAGAAUAAAUAAGUUUCAAAUUGAAUUUUCAUUUAAAAUAUAAUCAAUUAAAUUUUGUCUUUAACUAGUUAUGUAGUUUCAAUUGAAAAUGGGUUUCAUGAAGACUUUCAAGGGGUGUAUGUCAAGGGACGUAAUAAUUGAGAAAUUAUAGAAUACAUCUGAGACAAUACAACCAAUUAAUAUAUGCAUAACAUAGGUAAUUAGAUUUAAUAUAACUAUAAAUCCCUUCAAAAUGAAUGCACAUAAAUUAUAACAUCAUUUCCUUAUUGUAUAGUUGAUGUAGUAUAUGUGAUAUAUUCUAUAAUUUCUAAUAAUAGUAUCAGUCAAACUUAAAUGGUAGUUUUUUUUUUUAUCCUCUUGAAUGAUAAAAGUAUUAUUAAACUCUUAUUUGGAGAAUCCCCCUUUUAUCAUUUAACCACCACGUUUCCAAUAAAAUGAUGUUAAUUUGGUGAUUCUUUCAAAUUCCAAUGAAUUUUACAAUUUCUAGGAGAGAAACUACUGGAGAUAAAACGAGUUUCAAAUAUUGCAUUUUUUUAUAUCACAUUCAUGGGACUCAAAAGUCUGAAAACAUUCAAAAAUGGAUUCAAACUCUUUACUGGAAAAAAAAAAACGGCAGUUAUUUUCCCAUUUCCUUUCGCAUUGUAACUUGAAUAUAAUUUUGCUUCAGUACUAAUCAAGUGUUUCAUCUACAAACACCAUAAUUUGCCUGCGAAUCAACAUGUAUCUGUGCUAGGAUGAAGCAAAUGCAGGCAAAUUGUUUCCAUAAAAAAUUUGGAUAUUUGCAAUCUUCAAUUUCAAAGAAAGAGUGUCGGCAAAAAUUUAUCAAGUUGCACCUUAACAAAGCUCACACAUAUUCUCAUUUCACAAAUCGGGCACACUACAUUUACAUAUAUAUAGUACAUCAUAAUGAUCAAAAUUUUACUCAUGAAAUUGUUCAGCAUGAAAUCAUGUAGCAAUAGCUUGUAAACAUAUUUUGACAUUUAUCUGCCUUUAUUUGUGUAAAAUAUGACAUCCCCAGUUCCCAACCCCGAGUGAUGAUAUGGGCAGCAUCCAGCAAAUAUUUUAAGUUCAAACCUCAACAGUCUCUUGGAGGUGUGGUUGCAAAAUUCCACGAUGUUUUGUCAAGAGCAUCUGGGUAUCUGUCUCCUGCAACCUCUUCUGUGGGUACGGCAUCAGAAAUUUCUUUCAGAUCCUCUUUUGUAAGUUUUAUUGUCAAGGAGCCAAUAUUGUCGUCCAGGUUCUUAAUCUUAGUUGUCCCUGAUGCUCGAAACAAAUUAGCAGUAAACAUCAAUACAGGUAAUAUUAUCUUGAUCAGCUCAGUUUUAACUCUAUAUAUUUCUUCAAGUCAACACAUGAAUCAUGAACUCAAAGGAUAGAAUCUUACCGGGAAUAGGUACGACAUCCUCCCCCUGCGCGAGAACCCAUGCCAGUGCUAAUUGAGCAGAAGUGCAUUUGUACUUUUUGGCAAGGUUCUCUAUGCGAAAAUAAAUACUCUUGUUUCUGUCCAGGUUCUCUCCGUUGAACCGAGGAAAAAAUU